AGUUCAAUCCCUUUGUGACUUCUGAUCGAAGCAAGUACCACAAAAGGCAUUUCAAUGCACUUUCCCACAUUCUCAGAAAUAUUAGGUCUUCCUCUCUUUGCAAAGAGCUGAGACAGAAGUACAAUGUUCAAUCCAUGACCAUCCGAAAGGAUGAUGAAGUUCAGGUUGUACACAGGCACUACAAAGGUCAGCAAAUUGGCAAAGUAGUCCAGGUUUACAGGAAGAAAUAUGUCACCUACAUUGCACAGGUGCAGCAGGAAAAGGCUAAUGGCACAACUGUCCACAUAGGCAUUCACCCCAGCAAGGUGGUUAGCACUAGGCUAAAACUGGACAAAGACUGCAAAAAGAUUCUUGAACGGAAAGCCAAAUCUUAGCAAGUAGGAAGGGAAAGGGGCAAAUACAAGGAAGAAACAAUU
rnacentral:lncRNA from 1 species